ACAGUCUUUGUMCUGACGACAUCUCUUUCAAACGCCUGACUUAUCAGCUGUCGAUGGUAGACUCUGUGUCUACCAUGGCCCUCACGGGUAACGGGGAAUCAGGGUUCGAUUCCGGAGAGGGAGCCUGAGAAACGGCUACCACAUCCAAGGAAGGCAGCAGGCACGCAAAUUACCCACUCCCAGCACGGGGAGGUAGUGACAAAAAAUAACGAUACGGGACUCUAUUGAGGCCCCGUAAUCGGAAUGAGUACACUUUAAAUCCUUUAACAAGGAUCCAUUGGAGGGCAAGUCUGGUGCCAGCAGCCGCGGUAAUUCCAGCUCCAAUAGCGUAUAUUAAAGUUGUUGCGGUUAAAAAGCUCGUAGUUGGUUCUGCGUGCCGCGCUGUCGGUUCGCCGCCUGUCGGUGUAACUGGCAUGUCGCGGCAUGUCCUGUCGGUGGUGAACGCAAUCCACCGGUACUUGCUGAGGCAUUGCCGAAGUUUUGUGUCGUGUGCGAUUUCGUUUGCCGAUCUCUCCUACUCCGGUGCUCUUAAACGAGUGUCGAGGUAGGCCGACACGUUCACUUUGAACAAAUUAGAGUGCUUAAAGCAGGCUGAAAUCUCUGCCUGAAUAGUGGUGCAUGGAAUGAUAAAAUAGGACCUCGGUUCUAUUUUGUUGGUUUUAGGAAUAUGAGGUAAUGAUCAAUGUGGACAGGCGGGGGCAUUCGUAUUGCGACGUUAGAGGUGAAAUUCUUGGAUCGUCGCAAGACGCACUAGAGCGAAAGCAUUUGCCAAGUAUGUCUUAAUUGAUCAAGAACGAAAGUUAGAGGUUCGAAGGCGAUCAGAUACCGCCCUAGUUCUAACCAUAAACGAUGCCAGCCAGCGAUCCGCCGAUGUUCCUUUAAUGACUCGGCGGGGAGCUUCUACUCGGGAAACCAAAGCUUUUGGGUUCCGGGGGAAGUAUGG
rnacentral:rRNA from 1 species